rnacentral:lncRNA from 1 species
CACAGAUACAGUUUCCUCACAAAAAGAUUUCUCAUCACUCUUUCCACAUGACAAAAACCAGUAUCAAAGGCAACAGCAUUGUCUGUGAAAGCUUUAAUAAAACCACGUUUGUUUUUCUGGCGAAAGAGGCGCAAGAUGAAUGCUUCUUGACAAGACUCGAUUAUUCUGUGGGCUCUAUACACCAAGAUGCCUGAGGGGGAGAAACGUAAUUUAAACUACAGAACAGGAACAUCGUAACACCAACAGGCAGAGAUCACAGAGAUCAUAGAAUGCUGACUAUGUGCCAUGCUACCAAGUAUUUUACAUAUAAGCAUUUCAUUUCACCCUGACAAUCCUAGGAGGAAGGUACUAUCUUUAUCACCAAUGUACGGGUGAGUAAGCUGAGGCAUAGAGAAAUUAAGAAACUUGCCUAAAAAUACACAGCUGGUGCAAGAUGAAGAUAACU